UACGAACUGUGCGAACGUUAUUCGGAAUCACUGGGCUUACAGGGUGCGUAGGCGGCUAUUCAGGUCAGGUGUGAAAGCCCCCGGCUCAACCGGGGAACUGCGCUUGAAACCGAGUGGCUCGAGUCAGCUAGAGGUACACGGAACUUCCAGUGGAGCGGUGAAAUGUGUUGAUAUUGGAAGGAACACCGGAGGCGAAAGCGGUGUACUGGGGCUGGUCUGACGCUGAGGCACGGAAAGCCAGGGGAGCGAACGGG
rnacentral:rRNA from 1 species